CAAUGUCUGUCGAAAUGACAAUAUUUUAACUGGAUAAAAUGAGCAGAUGAUCAAUGUAUCUAAUAUAAAACUAUUAAUGGAGCUAUUGCAACUACUCACGGACCGCUAGGUGAGCUCACGAAAUUCAACCUGGGAGCACUUGCUAUUACUAAGUCUACCAAGAGUAGUGCUUCGCUGAAUCUACCACCGGACUGGAAUCGUGACCCACUGCCUAAAAUUUGAUUCCAUUUAUUGAAUUAAUUUGAUUAGCAGGCAAGAGUUUGCAAAUAUAAUUAGCUCCAUAUAAUGCCAGGAUUAUCUCUUGAAAAUUGUCUAUACACGUCCAGAUAGUUUAUUUUAAAUUUUAAUAACAACAUCCACGCGUCUUGUAAUUUUACAUAUUCUUUAUGCACAAAAACCUUUUCCGCCCACAAUAUCCUUUAAUUGGCUUAAAACCUUUUAAUCACGGUAAUUGAUUCCGAAAAACACCGCACCUAACCUGACAAACUCAUAUUUCGAUUAUGGAACAAGACCCUUCGAUGGUCUACGCAACUUAAUCAAGCAAUUAAUAUCUAAUUGAAUUACAUCCGUCAUCGAGCGUUGAGCGGAUGCCGACCCCGGCCUGGGGAGCAUUACCUGAAAUCGACAGCUUUCCGAUCAUCAUUUCGGGCGUAAAGCGUUUUGGUUUUAAAGCUUAAUGACUCAUCCCUAAAAUUUUAUUAAUUUUGAUCGAGGGAUAACCCUUUUAAGUCCUGUCAUUGGAGCUAAUAAAUCUGUCAAAGUCUUGACUAAAUUUCCGCAAUACUGUACUUUCAAAAAACACUGAUUCAUGAUUCGAUGAUCGGUUAUUGGCAAGUUAUCAAUAUCACGCAACCCAUUCCUUACCAUUACGUACGUGAUUUUAAAUAUCAAAACGAAGCCUGUAAUUCAUCUUAUGGGCACGCUACACUGUUCACCUUCACUCCGAAGCCCUACAUUUUAACUUGUACACGUUCUCCGCAGUCGAGUUCCGGUGAGGCGGUUGAUCAGUUAACUUUUAAUGCUCAUUAAAAUAGAUGGUUCAUUCGGUCCGUGUAAAUUUCCACGCUGGCGGAAAAUUAAAACGAUACCCGCGGCGAACGAGAUCCCCGCACGUCGUGCUAUUGUAGAAAUAUGAAAAACGGGAUCGAAUGAGAAAAAAAAAACUUUUUGUUUUCAUACGUUUACUUCACUACGAAAAAGUUUAUAGCGCGCACUGUACGCUCGAAGUUUAUUUAUUGAAGUGAAACUUCCUUAUCGGCGUUGGAAAAAAAUUUACCGUCACAUUUUUCGGUUACGCGUCACUUUUUUCCGUUACGCGCCAUCUGUUUUGUAUUCAUGUCUAUGAUAAUAAAAUCCUUUUGUUUAAACUUUAUCUAAUUUAACUUUUUUGUAUUCAUGUCUAUGAUAAUAAAAUCCUUUUGUUUAAACUUUAUCUAAUUUAACUUUAUUUAACCAAUUUCUAGAAAGUUGCAUGUAGAUCAUUUUUCGAAAAAUAAGGCCAUAAACAAGUUUCACUUCUUACGUGUGUACACUAGUACACGCACACAUUUUUUUUAUUUAUCUUGUAUAACUCGUUUUGCUUUGGCCUUCACGGAAUCUGAUGUUAUUUUUCGCUCAUAUCGCUUAUAUCGCUCGAAACUGAUUGAAGCUCAUUCGCUAUUUAACAAUACGAAGGAUGGUGUCAAAUAACCAUAUGCUUUAAUAUCAUUUGUAUGACGGUUAUCACUGGCCUACAGACAGGCGACUCGACGACCCACAAGCCACUAAAUACCGCCCAACAAUAUACUUACGGUGACUGCAGACCCGAGAUUCGGUUUAUGAAUCGCUCGUAAAUUGAAUACGUCGACAAUACUACUUUUGUUUGACGUGAUUUAAAUUCCAUUCAUUACCGGCUGCUUAUUAUUCUAUUGUCCACUAUUGAAAGUUGCAUUUUCAAUUAAAUGAACUGUUUUUUGGACAGAGGGUUUCCUUUUUAUCUGCAACUCUUUUACUGUUUGGUCUUGUUACUUUUUUUUAAUGCAAUAAAUUGUUGAAUAUGUAUUAA